rnacentral:rRNA from 1 species
UACGUAGGGGGCAAGCGUUGUCCGGAAUCAUUGGGCGUAAAGAGCGUGUAGGCGGCCCGAUAAGUCCGCUGUGAAAGUCCAGGGCUCAACCCUGGGAUGCCGGUGGAUACUGUCGGGCUCGAGUCCGGAAGAGGCGAGUGGAAUUCCUGGUGUAGCGGUGAAAUGCGCAGAUAUCAGGAGGAACACCAAUGGCGAAGGCAGCUCGCUGGGACGUGACUGACGCUGAGACGCGAAAGUGUGGGGAUCAAACAGG